rnacentral:rRNA from 1 species
GACGUAGGGGGCGAGCGUUGUCCGGAUUUAUUGGGCGUAAAGCGUGCGUAGGCGGCUGCGCAAGUCGGGUGUGAAACCCCGGGGCUCAACCCCGGAACUGCAUCCGAUACUGCGUGGCUAGAGGUAGGUAGGGGAGCAUGGAAUUCCUGGUGUAGCGGUGAAAUGCGCAGAUAUCAGGAGGAACACCGAUGGCGAAGGCAGGUCUCUGGGCCACUACUGACGCUGAGAAGCGAAAGCAUGGGGAGCGAACAGG